rnacentral:lncRNA from 1 species
AACUCUGGGUGACCUGACCACACCGGGUCUGUGUUCCCAAGUGCCGCCGGAAGCUGACUGCAGCUGCCCCCUGUAGCCAGGGCAUGUGUGGGGACUGCUCUGACAACUGUCCCCCACUCCCGCAGUGCCCAGUGCCCGACACCCUGGGGAGUCACUGCCACCCCGGAGGGGCCACCAAUUCAACAUGUGACAACCCGAAGUGGAGGGAAGCAGAGGAGGAAGAGACGGAGGGGGACACACAGAUGGAAACUGAGCCCAAGAACCAAGAGUGAGCCUGAGGACCACAGCGAGGGACAGCGGGAGAGGGAGGCAGCAGGCAGACGGAGGCGAGGAGCGAUUCCUUGGGCAUCUUAAGUCACUCUCUGGCCCCUGAGCAGCUGUCUCGUUUAGGGAAAAGAGCCUGGGGAGGACAUGAAAAGGGUGAGGCCUGGACACGCUCCUUGGUCAUUUCCCAACACUGACGUCACCAUUCCUAGCCUGCCUAGGUCCUGGGGUGGCCCUCUGUGGGCGGGUGAGCACACACCUUGGCAGGAGGUGACGCAGCUGGACCACGCGUGGGAACUCCCGGCACAGCGGGCGGGCCUGGCUCAGCCCCACCUCCCCUGCCACUGGGUUCCUGGCAACCUCUGGUGGCUUCUUCCUCCUCCUUCUGCCGCCAGGAUGCAGGGGUCCCCACAGGCGAGAGGCUGAACUCAGAGCUGGCCAGGUGAGAAGCGAAGCACCGAACCACUGAAAUCUCCAGGAGACCACACUGGGUGGCAGAUGUGACAGCAACCCUCUGACCUCACGGGGCGCUGCCGUCCCAGCACAACCAGAACAAGGUGUGCCGAUGCCGGGAGCAGUGCAAACGGCCCUGGACGGGGAUGCAGAGGGCUCCGGAUCAGCCUGGGGCUCGCUGUGGGGCCCUGCUGUCAUCCCUUGGAAAUGGGUACACCCCCGGCAUAUUGAGGGGGAGGCACGCAGAGGAACAAACGUGAUAAAUGCAUCCAUGGGCUGCAAAUCGGGGGCCGCUCGGACAGCUGUCCCCCACUCCUGCAGUGCUCGCUGCCUGGCACUGUGAGGAGUCACUGCCACCCCCGAGGGGCCACCAAUUCAACAUGUGACAGGCCGAAGUGGAGGGAAGCAGAGGAGAGAGGAAGACAUAGAGGGAAACUGAACCCAAGACCCAAAAGUGAGCCGGAGGACCACAGCGGGAGAGGGAGGCAGCAGGCAGACGGAAGCGAGGAGACAGGGCGCAGAGGGGCUGCGGGGGGUGCUGGGCACACCUGGCUGAGGAAGGGACCAAAGGCCCAGAGGGUCCCAUAGUCUCAGCCUAGUACCUGUCCCCAAGCCCAGGGGCCCUGAUCACAAGGCAGCAACGUCUAUCCCACAGCUGUGAUAGGUGGGGCACAUCACACCCCGAGGGGCCCCGGCAUCCAUGAUCUCCCCUCCUGGAGGGUGGUCAGCCGCCAUCCUGGCCCCGGACUCCUUGGAAAUGCUCCACAAAGUGCCAGCUGGAAAUGUCACAGCACAGGGGGCCUUGGGAUGAGCCAGCCCCAAGGGGCCAUUCUUUCCUGUGGGUUUGGGGAACUCUUUUAAGAUCUGGAGUGCAGAUUCGGGUUCCAGUGCCUGCUCUGUGUCUUCCUAGCCUUAGUUUCACCUCCUGGGGCCUCAAUUUCUCCAUCAGUAAAAUGGGGACAGUAACCGUCAUAGCACCAGCUCUCAGGCUUCUCAGGGGAGCAGACAGUGAAGCAGUGCACAGAAGUCCUUGGUAAUCCAAGAAGCACCCUCUGGACGGAGCUGCCAGGACAGCCCGCAGCCACCCUGGACUGACCCGUGGGGCUGGGGGCAGCUGGGGAGGCCAAGCGUGUGCACACGGGCACCAGCAGCAGAGCAGACCCCCAGUCUCCUCUCUCAUACCCGAGAUGGGAGAUGAAGACUCCCCUGUGAGUUCCAAACUCCUCCAACCAGUUCUGGCAGGGAAGAAAGGGAGUCCUGGGAAAGCAACUCCCAUGCCUGGGGCUCGGCGGUGACCCACCCAGCCCCUCCCCGGCAGAGGCACUGGUUGCCCUGGAAACUCACCUCGGUGGUGGCCGGUGCUGGCAGAGGUGCCAGCCAAGGUGUCGGGCUUUGGAGAGCGGCACGACGGGCGACGGCCCUUCUCCUGGCGGUCACCACAGAGACACAGGCAAAGAACACAGAGCCCUUCCUCCCCCUGGGCACGGCAGGCCUGGCACAAACCUGGCCUGCUUCCCGGGCCAUGGUGGGGCGAGAGCCAGGUGGGGAGUGGGCCCUGCGGGAGGCCCUCUGCCAGUGUGCUCGUCGCCUGCGUGCCCUAGUGGAGUGGAGCACCCGAGUGCCUGGGCCUGGUGUCACCCGCGUGGCUGUCAUACCUGCUGCUGUGACAGGCAGGACCAGGAAUUCCCGCUUGUACCAGGCCAUGGGCCAGCCGAGGACGAGUGGAGAGGCUGCCCCAAGCUAGCCUAGCUUUCUCCCUUAAUUCUCCAAGUCCCCACUCCCAUUCCCCCUGUGUCGGGGGCCUGGAAACCACCACACAGAGCCAGAAAGGUGACAGAUACAAGUAACCAAAUCAAAACAGGGUUCGGUCAGCAGAGCCACCAGGCGGAUGUGAGUCUAGCCAGAGGCACUGGGAGGCAGGCAGGAGACCCCACUCACUUGUUCUGGAAGGCUUCCCUGCCCCCUAGACCUGAGCUCUUCCAUCCCUGGCACCCAGGCACGAGAUUUCCUUUCUUCUUUUUUUUUUUUUUUUUUUCCCUGAGAUGGAAUCUCGCUCUGUCGCCCAGGCUGGAGUGCAGUGGUGCGACCUCGGCUCACUAUAACCUCUACCUCCCGGUUCAAGUGAUUCUCCUGCCUCAGCCUCCCAGGUAUCUGGGAUUACAGGCACAUGCCACCAUGCUCGGCUAAUUUUUUUUUGAGACAUCGUCUCACUCUGUCACCCAGGCUGGAGUGCAGUGGCAUGGUCUCGGCUCACUGCACCUCUGCCUCCCGGGUUCAAGCGAUUCUCCUGCCUCAGCCUCCUGGGUAGCUGGGACUACAGGCGCAUGCCACCACACCCAGCUAAUUUUUGUAUUUUUAGUAGAGAUGGGGCUUCACUACAUUGGCCAGGCUGGUCUCAAACUCCUGACCUCGUGAUAUGCCUGCCUCAGCCUCCCAAAGUGCUGGGAUUACAGGCAUGAGCCACCACACUCAGCCACUUGGCUAAUUUUUUUGUAUUUUUAUUAGAGAUGGGGUUUUGCCAUGUUGGCCAGGCUGGUUCGAACUCCUGACCUCAGGUGAUCCACCUGCCUUGGCCUCCCAAAGUGGUAAGAUUACAGGUGUGAGCCACCGCACCCGGCCACAAGAUUUCAUUUUAACUGGGCGCAGGGGUGGGGGAUGCCAAUGGUUUGUUUCAUUAAGUAGGGUGGUAAAAAAUAAUAAUAUUACCACCACUACUCCCACCAUUCAGAAAAAACACCACCAAAGGUAACAAGAAAGGGCUGCCAUCAGAAAGAAGGGCAGGCUUGAAAUGAGUACAUUUGGCUUUUAGAAUAAUUUACUAGAGUGACUACUGGAGUUGUAAACAACCACCACCACCACCACAACAAUACAACAACUUACUACCUUGUCCCUGUUUUUCUCAUUUUGCUGCAAACCAGACAUUGGAAGCCAUCAGACGCAUCCAACACACCCGUCUGACAAGUGGAAAGACUGAGCCCCAGAGAGAGCAGGGACUUGCCCAAGAUCUCACAGGAAAAGUGUCUGUCCAGCUGCUCUGCAAAGCUUGCAGACGCUCCUUCCAUCCUGACCUGGGGGCCAGAACACUCAGAGCCCCAACCCCAAAGCCCAGAGAUGCCAGGGCGAAGUCAGAGGCCAAGAGUCUCAGCUACUUCCUUACCUUCCUGGGAACCUGGCCGGGUGGAUGCCCA